rnacentral:rRNA from 1 species
CCUACGGGUGGCAGCAGUAGGGAAUUUUGCGCAAUGGGGGAAACCCUGACGCAGCAACGCCGCGUGAUCGAUGAAGCCCUUCGGGGUGUAAAGAUCUGUCAGUGGGGACGAAACCUGACGGUACCCACAGAGGAAGCACCGGCUAACUCCGUGCCAGCAGCCGCGGUAAUACGGGGGGUGCAAGCGUUGUCCGGAAUCAUUGGGCGUAAAGAGUUCGUAGGUGGCACGUUAAGUCUGGUGUUAAAGGCGGAAGCUCAACUUCCGUAGGGCACUGGAUACUGGCGAGCUUGAAUGCGGUAGAGGUAAAGGGAAUUCCUGGUGUAGCGGUGAAAUGCUUAGAGAUCAUACAGAACACCGAUUGCGAAGGCAGCUUACCAAGCUACUUCUGACGUUGAGGCACGAAAGCGUGGGGAGCAAACAGGAUUAGAUACCCGAGUAGUC